rnacentral:tRNA from 34 species
UGCCCAGGUGGUGAAAUUGGUAGACACGCUGGAUUUAGGAUCCAGUGCUUCGCGGCAUGUAGGUUCAAGUCCUAUCCUGGGCAU